CCUACGGGUGGCAGCAGUGGGGAAUAUUGGACAAUGGGGGCAACCCUGAUCCAGCCAUGCCGCGUGUGUGAAGAAGGCCCUCGGGUUGUAAAGCACUUUCAGUGAGGAAGAACGCCUGGUGGUUAAUACCCAUCAGGAAAGACAUCACUCACAGAAGAAGCACCGGCUAACUCCGUGCCAGCAGCCGCGGUAAUACGGAGGGUGCGAGCGUUAAUCGGAAUUACUGGGCGUAAAGCGCGCGUAGGUGGCUUGAUAAGCCGGUUGUGAAAGCCCCGGGCUCAACCUGGGAACGGCAUCCGGAACUGUCAAGCUAGAGUGCAGGAGAGGAAGGUAGAAUUCCCGGUGUAGCGGUGAAAUGCGUAGAGAUCGGGAGGAAUACCAGUGGCGAAGGCGGCCUUCUGGACUGACACUGACACUGAGGUGCGAAAGCGUGGGUAGCAAACAGGAUUAGAUACCCCUAGUAGUC
rnacentral:rRNA from 1 species